rnacentral:rRNA from 1 species
CCCCUUAGAUGUCCGGGGCUGCACGCGCGCUACACUGAAUGAAUCAGCGUGCUAGAAAACCUUGUUUGACAUGGCUAGGUAACCCAUUGAAAAUCAUUCGUGAUUGGGAUCGGGACUUGCAAAUGUGUCCCUUGAACGAGGAAUUCCCAGUAAGUGCGGGUCAUCAGCUCGCGUUGAUUACGUCCCUGCCCUUUGUACACACCGCCCGUCGCUGCCCGGAACUGAGCCGUUUCGAGAAGACUGAGGAUUGCUGACUUGAGGCCUUCACGGGCUUCUAGUCGGUGAAAAUCAAUUUAAUCGCAGCGGCUUGAACCGGGCAAAAGUCGUAACA